rnacentral:rRNA from 1 species
GAUGAACGCUAGCGGCAGGCCUAACACAUGCAAGUCGAGCGAUCCCUUCGGGGAUAGCGGCGGACGGGUGAGUAACGCGUGGGAACGUACCCUUUGCUACGGAAUAGCCUCGGGAAACUGGGAGUAAUACCGUAUGUGCCCUUCGGGGAAAGAUUAUCGGCAAAGGAUCGGCCCGCGUUGGAUUAGGUAGUUGGUGGGGUAAGUGGCCUACCAAGCCUACGAUCCAUAGCUGGUUUGAGAGGAUGAUCAGCCACACUGGGACUGAGACACGGCCCAGACUCCUACGGGAGGCAGCAGUGGGGAAUCUUAGACAAUGGGGGCGAACCCUGAUCUAGCCAUGCCGCGUGAGUGAUGAAGGCCUUAGGGUUGUAAAGCUCUUUCAGCUGGGAAGAUAAUGACGGUACCAGCAGAAGAAGCCCCGGCUAACUCCGUGCCAGCAGCCGCGGUAAAGUACAGUGU